CCCCCAGAGGCUCUUGAGAUUACCCGCAAGUUCAUGAACAAACCUGUGAGAAUCCUUGUGAAGAGAGAUGAGCUCACCCUUGAGGGUAUCAAGCAGUUCUAUGUGAAUGUGGAGAAGGAAGACUGGAAGCUGGACACACUAUGUGACCUGUACGAGACCCUUGCCAUCACCCAGAGUGUCAUCUUUGUCAACACCCGCCGCAAGGUGGACUGGCUCACUGACAAGAUGAGGAGCAGGGACCACACUGUUUCUGCCACUCACGGUGACAUGGAUCAGAACACUAGGGACAUCAUCAUGAGGGAGUUCAGGUCUGGUUCAUCCCGUGUGCUCAUCACCACCGACCUGCUUGCCCGUGGUAUCGAUGUUCAGCAGGUGUCCUUGGUCAUCAACUACGAUCUCCCCACCCAGCCUGAGAACUACCUGCAUCGCAUUGGUCGUAGUGGUCGUUUCGGUAGGAAGGGUGUUGCCAUCAACUUUGUGACCCGUGAUGAUGAGAGGAUGCUGUUUGACAUACAGAGGUUCUACAACGUGGUGAUUGAGGAGCUGCCUGCCAACGUCGCUGACCUUCUGUGAUCGAGUUGAAGAAAAAACAAAACAGAACAAAAAAAAAGUGGUAAGGGGACCUGAUAAGGCUUGUUUUUGUUGAAAUAUCGCCAUAUGUGGGGUGGAGUGACAAGGUCGGUGGGGUUUCUAUGUCAAGUCGUGGUCAUGGACAAUUUGUGAUUUUUCCUUAUGCCAUGUUUUGGGAAUUUUUGUAGCUGCCUAGGCCUGUGCUAUGUGCUACUGUGGGGGUUCAUUAGUAUGGAGGGGAGACGCUGCUGGUGCUGGAGUCUUUUCGUCUUUAGUAUUUUUGUUUAAAACUAUGUAUGACCGAAUGAUGGUAUUUAUUUGUGUCAUC
rnacentral:lncRNA from 1 species